rnacentral:rRNA from 1 species
UACGAAGGGGGCUGGCGUUGUUCGGAAUCACUGGGCGUAAAGGGUGCGUAGGCGGGUCUUUAAGUCAGGGGUGAAAUCCUGGAGCUCAACUCCAGAACUGCCUUUGAUACUGAAGAUCUUGAGUCCGGGAGAGGUGAGUGGAACUGCGAGUGUAGAGGUGAAAUUCGUAGAUAUUCGCAAGAACACCAGUGGCGAAGGCGGCUCACUGGCCCGGUACUGACGCUGAGGCACGAAAGCGUGGGGAGCAAACAGG